rnacentral:rRNA from 1 species
UGAAAAUUAGCCAGAGCCUCGCACCCGAACCCUCGUGCCCUCGAUGCCGCACGAGUCGCGUACCUGCUCCCUCCCUCAAUCCCAAGCUCCGCCGCCGCACCACAAUUCUCGAUCUGAAUCUUCAUCUCACGCCGACGCGAUGUCUCCCGAUGAUCACCAGAUUUUGUUUCGCAGCUAGGUUUCCCCCUCCCGGCGUGCUCCCGCAUGUUGUCCCUCGCCGCCCAACCCGCCCUCACGCACCACCUCCAUUGGAUCCGUCGCCUUGCUGCUGCGGGCGUGGAUCAAGAGCAAGGAAGCCGGGAGGGAGCGAUGGCCACUGGCCGCCUCACAUCGAGGUUGAAGGCCAUGACCGCUUUGUCACUGUCGUCAUGCGCUCCGCGCUGGGAGUCGCCGCCUCUUUGGCCGAUGUGGCGCCAGGGUCGACUCGGGCUGGAGCUUCCUGUGCGGCGAGAAGCCAUAUGUCUAAUGCCCUGAUCUCGCGCCGGAGCGUGCGCAAUCGUCCUCGCGCGUGGAGGCGCAGAUGCGGCCGUCGCCUCCAGGUUGUUGGUAUGGAUUUUCGAUCCAUUAAUUGUGGAUGUCAACGCCAUCUCCAUGUUCUUCUUUCUUUCUAUGUUCGCCCUUUUCUAUUCUGAUUUUUAUAUCUUGCCAACUUGAUUACUUGAUCGAAAACUUAUUACCAAUUUCAAGUUCCUACCUGGGAGUAUUAUCAGUCUGUUGUAUUCGGCAAGGUAGCCUUUGUGGUCACAUACCGAUUCUGGCAUGAGAGUGAUGGUGUCGUUCAUGCCCGAGUAUGCUGGUGUCUCUCGGCAUCCUGGAGUCCGGCACCGCCCUUUCCAGCUUGGUCACCGUUGGCAUGCAUGACGCGCUCCUCGCUUAUGGUGUGCAUGUUCAUGGACUUUUGGAUGUACAGGGUGGGCUAUGAUCAUCGCACCGACGCAAUCGCUGGAGUCCACCAUAACCACACUGCAUGCAUGCCAAUGGCGUCGGAGCAGGCUCCAUCAGCUUUGACUGUAGCGGUCGGUCUAGAUGGUCUCAGGGAGCAUCACCGGCUGGGCCAACAUCCUCUAUCGGUCGCGACAUGUGUCACACUAGGGCUAGCACAACAAUGGUUGGUACUCGCCCCUUUGUGUCUGGAGGAUCCCAAAAUACCUCUGGAUAUUGUGCUUUUGUAGAGAAGCCACGAUAAUGCCAAUCUCGGCGUUGGGAUCCAGAAAUAUCUUUGAAUGGAUUUGCAAAAGGCCACGACCACAAUAGUGCAAGGAUCUGCUGAAGCAGUGGUUGUAAAGGCUCCGCGUGAGUGAUUCCGUGCAAGGGGAAUGAGAGUUCUAGAAAGAGGUGGAAGAUAAUCUGUUCAAUCUUUUCAAAGAUACAUUGGUGAAAUGCAGCAACCAGAUAAACGAAAUGCAUUACUCCAUCACCACACUGAUGCUCCAUCUCCCUCUGAUGGCAAGUGCGACCCUGAUGAAGCUGCUCCCCUACAUCAAGGACUACCCCAACAGUGCGGCCUUGAUGGCACAACUCCCAUACACCAAGGACUAGCCCCAUGGUGCGGCCACGACAUCACUGCUCCCCUACACUGCCGACUACAACCUGAGAUCUUAGAACAGGUUUGCAGGUUCAUUGGAAUGCACAGUAAGAAUUACAGUAAGAAGUUCAACUACGAGCCCAGACAUGAGGUAUUUUAACCGCCAACAGAGGGUGUGUUGCGCUAAAAAAUAGUAAUCUUCGCUCCAAAUUCUUAGGUCACUGGCCCAGGUUAGUGCCCAUUGUCAUUGUGCAUCUCUGUUAACUAUUUUAGAACUAGCACAAAUCUGAGUAGGGCUGGAACAAAAUGAACACCCAGGGUUCGAGUACCUCUACUAUGAUAUAAUUAUCUUCCAAACAGGUGUCAUUUCCUUAUCAAGAUGGUUCUCGUGAUUUAGGAAAACUAACAACACCUCAAUGGUCUUUGCACUAGAUUGAUGCACGAGAGCUUCUAGAUGUUCUUCUCGAUCUUGAAUAUUCAUUUUCUCCAACUAUGCAAGAUUUGCUUGUGUAUAAGUUUGAUAAGGCCAGGGGCAAGAACAAAGUGGUUGAUUCAUUGAGUAAGUUCAUCCCUCAGUUAGUUUAACUUGGCUGCUUGUGUCCCAUAAGGUUGUGCAACCUUUUGCAGCAUCUAAUCUACUAACACAUGGUUAGAUUGAAUUUGUGUAGUUUCUCAUUGUAUUCAUGCUUUGUAGUUACCGUCUCAAAUUUAUUUAAUUGCUUCAGUUAAUUCCAUUGGUUAAUAUGUACUCUUUACUUUAUUUGGUUACAAAUAUAAACCUGCAUUACUCAUGCCCUUGAUAUAUAAUAUCAUUCGUUCAGGGUGGUUGAAUCCACUAUAUGGAGUUCUUUAAAUUCGCAUGUUGUGUUAGUGCAUUGUAAUUUGUUUGGUACAUACGCUGCAAUCAAUUAGCAGCCACAAGCUUUCCUUUUUCUUUAGCACUAUUGUUUCAACUGCAAUUGAUGCUUUCAUUACAGUUAGUUUUAUUUUUCCAGAUGAAGUAUGCGUUAUGUACAGUCCUCCAGAAUUCAGAAAUUGAUCUAUAAUUCUGUGAAGAGAAGGUUUUCAAACCCAAAGGAGCAUUGGCAACCUUAGGGACUUGGGCGCCAGCGUGUAGUCCCUGCAGAAGUUGCUCACCCGGAAGGUGGUCUUCUCCAAGGCCUCCUUAGCCUUUGAACAAGACCGCUCCAUCAAGGGUAAACCAUUGAGUGGCAAUGAUACAUGUGUGUCCAUUGCAACUUAGAGGUACGACAUAGUGAUUAGCAGCAUGAGGUGCUGAGCACAUCGCGUGUGUGUCUGUAUGUGUGCGCUGAUAUGUGGUUCAUGAGGAACAAACUGAUUAAGCAUGCUCCAAAGCUACGAGCGACUGAACUAGGUAUCUUUUCUAUUUUCAUGGUGAAGCCUGGUUUUAACUGCUAAAGAAUAGCAGGAGAUGGAAUCAUUGAAAUACAAUCAAUUCUUAAGUAAAUGAACUGAGACUUGAUGGUUGUGUGUUAUUGGUACAAUAUGUAUUUUGGGCCUGAAUGAAGCAAAUCGAGAAUUCCUGGUUACUUAUUAUUAGUAUAGUAUACCUUUUUUGGGCCUGAAUUCUGAACCUUGCUGAUUUUUUUUAGUAGUGUGUUAUCAGUGUAGUAUGCAUUUUUGGCCUGAAUCCUUAACCUUAUCUAGGUAUUGAUUUUCUGCAAUCAGUGAAGCACUCAUGGUCAUGCGUAUUUGUUAGUCUACAUUACUUAUAGAUUUAGUUGUUUUGAUAUGUAUCCAUUCGUCGGUUAGUUAACUGAAAUUUGUUGGCAGUGGUUCUUUAUGUUCUUUAACUGUUAUACAGAAGCAGCGGACUGAAACAUUUAAAAACAAUCAGCUCUUUAUGAAUUAACUAAAGACUUGAUGGUUGCGUUAUUAUUAUAGUAUAUACAUUUUUGGGCCUGAAUUACAAAUCUGAUUCAAAUAUCCUUGUUUUGUGUUAUUAUUAUGGUAAUGUUAUCGAGCUUUGUUAAUGUUUUUUUUUCUUUCCUUCCUGAACUUCUGAUACUCUCUGCAGUGAUGAACUGUUUUUGCAUGUCAGUUAAGUACCAGGGCAACCACAGAUGAUGUUCCUUCCAUUCAUUGAGUUGCCUUACUGUUAUGUCGUCCAACUUUUUGUUAAUAUACACACUCGACAACUUACUGUUAUAACGUCCAACUUUUUGUUAAUAUACACACUUGAUUCUGGAACCCAUGAACUCUUUGUUUCUCCGAGGACAUGUUUCACAUCUACUCCUGUUUGUAAAAAAACAUUAUAGUCUAUUAUGUGUUAUAUAGUCAAAAAAUACAUAAUUGGUUCUCUUCUAUGUGCUUUCCUUAAUGAAUACACUUGGUUCACAAAAGCCUUAGCAUAAUUUGUUGAACAAGUUUUGCCUAAUUUUAUUUCUUGCAUCUCCUGUGGUAAGUUUUAUUUCUUGGUACUUGUAAAAUUGUUCAGAUUACUUAGCUUCGUUCAACUGCUGUGUUGUCUAAAUCUACUGUGCCUAUAAACAUACGUGCUUGCCCGUGACCAUGUCGGCUAUGUUGUUAUUCUUUCUUGAAUUGGUAGGUUGAAACCAAGAGGGCAUUGUAAACUUUGAUGACACUUUGUGGGAAACCAAUUACUUCAUGGCCAGAGGUGAUUUUGGAAUGGAGAUUUCAGUUGAGAAGAUAUUCCUUGCACAGAAAAUGAUGAUCUACAAGUGCAACCUUGCUGGUGAGCCUGUUGUCACAGCGAUUGUAGGCACCAUCCAUUCCAAUUGUCCAUUGGUUUAACUGCAGUUUUUUAUGUACAACUUAUACGCCGGACAGAUUUUUUUUACUUGCCCUGAUGAAGUUGUAGACUAUACACAUAAGUUGCUGAUUUUGCAUGCUAUACUUGUGUAAAUGUUGUUCCACCUUCCCACUUUGUAAUUUCAUGGCCAUUUCAGAUGAUCUAGACAUUUAAUGUAUGGAAUUUACAUUGGCACUAAAUAAGGAAUAUUGAAAGAUAGUAUGCCACAAUAUCUGUUAUGAGGUAAAAAAUAAUAAUUUUCUCACUUUAAUAUUUUAGUCAUG